rnacentral:rRNA from 1 species
UAGGGAAUCUUCGGCAAUGGGGGCAACCCUGACCGAGCAACGCCGCGUGAGUGAAGAAGGUUUUCGGAUCGUAAAGCUCUGUUGUAAGUCAAGAACGGGUGUGAGAGUGGAAAGUUCACACUGUGACGGUAGCUUACCAGAAAGGGACGGCUAACUACGUGCCAGCAGCCGCGGUAAUACGUAGGUCCCGAGCGUUGUCCGGAUUUAUUGGGCGUAAAGCGAGCGCAGGCGGUUUGAUAAGUCUGAAG